rnacentral:rRNA from 1 species
GACGUAGGGAGCGAGCGUUGUCCGGAUUUACUGGGCGUAAAGAGCGUGUAGGCGGCCAAACAGGUCCGUUGUGAAAACUGGAGGCUCAACCUCCAGACGUCGACGGAAACCGUGUGGCUAGAGUCCGGAAGAGGAGAGUGGAAUUCCUGGUGUAGCGGUGAAAUGCGCAGAUAUCAGGAAGAACACCAAUGGCGAAGGCAGCUCUCUGGGACGGUACUGACGCUGAGACGCGAAAGCGUGGGGAGCGAACAGG